UACGGAGGGUGCAAGCGUUAUCCGGAUUCACUGGGUUUAAAGGGUGCGUAGGUGGGCAGGUAAGUCAGUGGUGAAAUCUCCGGGCUUAACUCGGAAACUGCCGUUGAUACUAUCUGUCUUGAAUAUCGUGGAGGUUAGCGGAAUAUGACAUGUAGCGGUGAAAUGCUUAGAUAUGACAUAGAACACCCAUUGCGAAGGCAGCUAACUACACGAUCAUUGACACUGAGGCACGAAAGCGUGGGGAGCAAACAGG
rnacentral:rRNA from 1 species